GGGCACUUGGUCAAGGAGAUCGACGCUCUUGGUGGCGAGAUGGGGCGCAACAUCGAUGCGACCGGGAUCCAGUUCCGGGUGCUCA
rnacentral:tRNA from 1 species